GAUGAAGAACGCAGCGAAAUGCGAUAAGUAAUGUGAAUUGCAGAAUUCAGUGAAUCAUCGAAUCUUUGAACGCACCUUGCGCUCUUUGGUAUUCCGAAGAGCAUGCCUGUUUGAGUGUCAUGAAAAUAUCAACCUUGACUUGGGUUUUGUGCUCUAGUCUCGGCUUGGAAUUGGGUGCUUGCCGCUUUUACGAGCGGCUCACCUUAAAUGUAUUAGCUGGAUCUGUCUUUGAGACUUGGUUUGACUUGGCGUAAUAAGUAUUUCGCUAAGGACAUUCUUCGGAGUGGCCUCGUUUCUAGGACGCUUGUCCGCUUUCCAAUACAAGUUCCACCUCGUGGACAUGAGUUUUUAUUAUCUGGCCUCAAAUCAGGUAGGACUACCCGCUGAACUUAAGCAUAUCAAUAAGCGGAGGA
rnacentral:misc_RNA from 1 species